AUUGAACGCUGGCGGCAGGCCUAACACAUGCAAGUCGAGCGGAGCGGCGGACGGGUGAGUAAUGCGUAGGUAACUGCCUCAUAGCGGGGGAUAACUAUUGGAAACGAUAGCUAAUACCGCAUACUGUGAGAUGGACCUGCGUUGUAUUAGUUAGUUGGUGAGGUAAAGGCUCACCAAGGCGACGAUACAUAGCCGACCUGAGAGGGUGAUCGGCCACACUGGGACUGGAAGACGGCCCAGACUCCUACGGGAGGGAGCAGGAGGGAAUCUUCGGGAAUGGACGGAAGUCUGACCGAGCAACGACGCGGGAGUGAAGAAGGUUUUCGGAUCGUAAGGCUCUGUUGUUAGAGAAGCGGUAACUAAACAGAAAGGGACGGCUAACUACGUGCCAGCAGCCGCGGUAAUAC
rnacentral:rRNA from 1 species